GUCUUAUUCUGCGAUUAAACAGUUUAUAGACAUUCCCAGUAUCAUAAUCCUGUAGAUCUCUUAGGAAUUUUUGGUGUUUCCUUGAUUUAAUUAUCUCCUGAUAUUUAUCCAGGUUCUGUUUCAGCCUGGAUUCAAGGAAAACAAAAUUGGGAUCCUCUUGAAACUGUUUAAUUGUGUUAAUCUCUUCCUCCAAGUUUCCAUUAACAGUUUUUAGUUGUUCCUGUUCAAACUUGCAGAUAAUCUGCAUAAAUGUUUUAGAACAUAUUCCUGCUGCUGCUUCCCAUUCCUCCAUUAGAG